rnacentral:rRNA from 1 species
UACAGAGGUCUCAAGCGUUGUUCGGAUUCAUUGGGCGUAAAGGGUGCGCAGGUGGGUUUGCAAGUUCGAUGUGAAAGCCCCGGGCUUAACCCGGGAAUGGCAUUGGAUACUGCAGAUCUGGAGGAUCGGAGGGGGGACUGGAAUUCUUGGUGUAGCAGUGAAAUGCGUAGAUAUCAAGAGGAACACCAGUGGCGAAGGCGAGUCCCUGGACGAUACCUGACACUGAGGCACGAAAGCUAGGGGAGCAAACAGG